GCUCGCGAUGCAUCUAGAUUAGAGUUUGAUCCUGGCUCAGGAUGAACGCUGGCGGCGUGCCUAAUACAUGCAAGUCGAACGCUUCCUACCGGUGCUUGCACCGGGAAAGAAGAGUGGCGGACGGGUGAGUAACACGUGGGUAACCUACCUACAAGCGGGGGAUAACAUUCGGAAACGGAUGCUAAUACCGCAUAGAUCUUUUUGUCUCCUGACAGAAAGAAGAAAGACGGUUUCGGCUGUCACUUGUAGAUGGACCCGCGGUGCAUUAGUUAGUUGGUGAGGUAAUGGCUCACCAAGACGAUGAUGCGUAGCCGACCUGAGAGGGUGAUCGGCCACACUGGGACUGAGACACGGCCCAGACUCCUACGGGAGGCAGCAGUAGGGAAUCUUCCGCAAUGGACGAAAGUCUGACGGAGCAACGCCGCGUGAGUGAAGAAGGUUUUCGGAUCGUAAAACUCUGUUGUUAGAGAAGAACAAGGAUGAGAGUAACUGCUCGUCCCUUGACGGUAUCUAACCAGAAAGCCAUGGCUAACUACGUGCCAGCAGCCGCGGUAAUACGUAGGUGGCAAGCGUUAUCCGGAAUUAUUGGGCGUAAAGCGCGCGUAGGCGGUUUCUUAAGUCUGAUGUGAAAGCCCACGGCUCAACCGUGGAGGGUCAUUGGAAACUGGGAAACUUGAGUACAGAAGAGGAAAGUGGAAUUCCAUGUGUAGCGGUGAAAUGCGCAGAGAUAUGGAGGAACACCAGUGGCGAAGGCGACUUUCUGGUCUGUAACUGACGCUGAUGUGCGAAAGCGUGGGGAUCAAACAGGAUUAGAUACCCUGGUAGUCCACGCCGUAAACGAUGAGUGCUAAGUGUUAGGGGGUUUCCGCCCCUUAGUGCUGCAGCUAACGCAUUAAGCACCCCGCCUGGGGAGUACGGA
rnacentral:rRNA from 2 species